CCUACGGGAGGCUGCAGUGGGGAAUAUUGCACAAUGGGGGGAACCCUGAUGCAGCGACGCCGCGUGGGUGAGGAAGUACUUCGGUAUGUAAAGCCCUAUCAGCAGGGAAGAAAAUGACGGUACCUGACUAAGAAGCCCCGGCUAACUACGUGCCAGCCGCCGCGGUCAUACGUAGGGGGCAAGCGUUAUCCGGAUUUACUGGGUGUAAAGGGAGCGUAGACGGCGUGCCAAGUCUGGUGUGAAAGGCCGGGGCUCAACCCCGGGACUGCAUUGGAAACUGGCAUGCUGGAGUGCAGGAGGGGCAGGCGGAAUUCCUAGUGUAGCGGUGAAAUGCGUAGAUAUUAGGAGGAACACCGGUGGCGAAGGCGGCUUGCUGGACGGUAACUGACGUGGAGGCUCGAAAGCGUGGGGAGCAAACAGGAUUAGAUACCCGGGUAGUC
rnacentral:rRNA from 1 species